rnacentral:rRNA from 1 species
GACGAACGCUGGCGGCGUGCUUAACACAUGCAAGUCGAACGGAAAGGCCCUGCUUUUGUGGGGUGCUCGAGUGGCGAACGGGUGAGUAGCACGUGUGUAACCUGCCCUUGACUUUGGGAUAACUUCAGGAAACUGGGGCUAAUACCGGAUAGGAGCUCCUGCUGCAUGGUGGGGGUUGGAAAGUUUCGGCGGUUGGGGAUGGACUCGCGGCUUAUCAGCUUGUUGGUGGGGUAGUGGCUUACCAAGGCUUUGACGGGUAGCCGGCCUGAGAGGGUGACCGGCCACAUUGGGACUGAGAUACGGCCCAGACUCCUACGGGAGGCAGCAGUGGGGAAUAUUGCACAAUGGGCGGAAGCCUGAUGCAGCAACGCCGCGUGCGGGAUGACGGCCUUCGGGUUGUAAACCGCUUUCGCCUGUGACGAAGCGUGAGUGACGGUAAUGGGUAAAGAAGCACCGGCUAACUACGUG